rnacentral:lncRNA from 10 species
GGGGAGAAGAAGGGAAAGGAGUUUGGAUGGACGAACAGCAUAAGCAACAUUCUGGAAUUUUCUUUAAUGCUCUCAUGAAUGCAUUCUUGGAAUUUUCUAAUAUGUAAACAUUAUUUUGUGGCCAACUGACUUCAAUUAUAUGUAGAACCAUCCAAAAGUCUCCUCUCAGGCAUUAAGGAACAUGAACGCUUUUAAGGGAUUUCCAAACUGGAAAUAACCAACACAACUAGGUCAAGCAUCCAUCAUGCACCAUGUACACCACAGUGCACCACAGCUGAGACCAGUGUGGAUCCCACCAUCAGCAGCUUUUCCAAAGGACCCAGGCAAAAUGUGUGGUGUUUCUGAGGGCAUCCUCUUCCACAUUUUUAGCGUAAUCUACCUCGACACACAGAUGCAAUGCUCACAGAGGCCAGAACGCUUCCCAGAAGCAGCCAAGAGUGAGCACUUUCUCAUGGUGUAAAAUAUUCUACCAAAACCUUAUUUCCAAUAGGUGGACAUUGAAGUGGACCUAAUUCGGUUUUCCUUUUAAAAGCCCCCACAAACAAAAGUAGUUUGAAACCUAUUUAAAAU